rnacentral:pre_miRNA from 1 species
GAUUUUAGCUGAAAAAGUCAUGAACACAAAAGUUGUAGAACUGAUCGAGAUCUACAAAUUUUAUUUUGAUCAUUUGUUCAUUCGACAAAGUGAUAGUAACGUUGUUCUCAAAAUUUACACAUCUCUCUUAUAACUUAUGAAACUAUACGGGAUAUAUGCAAAAUUUGUGAACAAUGUUACUAUUAGUUUAUUAAAUAAACAAAUGACCAAAAUAAAAAUUGUAGAUCUAGAUGGGUUAUAUAACUUUGUUGUUUAUGACUUUUUCAGUUGAAGUC